rnacentral:rRNA from 1 species
GGUUGUAAAACUCUUUCGUCGGGGAAGAAAAUGACUGUACCCGAAUAAGAAGGUCCGGCUAACUUCGUGCCAGCAGCCGCGGUAAUACGAAGGGACCUAGCGUAGUUCGGAAUUACUGGGCUUAAAGAGUUCGUAGGUGGUUAAAAAAGUUGAUGGUGAAAUCCCAAGGCUCAACCUUGGAACUGCCAUCAAAACUUUUUAGCUAGAGUGUGAUAGAGGAAAGUGGAAUUUCUAGUGUAGAGGUGAAAUUCGUAGAUAUUAGAAAGAACAUCAAAAGCGAAGGCAACUUUCUGGAUCAUUACUGACACUGAGGAACGAAAGCAUGGGUAGCGAAGAGGAUUAGAUACCCUCGUAGUCCAUGCCGUAAACGAUGUGUGCUAGACGUUGGAAACUUAGUUUUCAGUGUCGCAGCGAAAGCAUUAAGCACACCGCCUGGGGAGUACGACCGCAAGGUUA